rnacentral:rRNA from 1 species
UGGGGAAUAUUGCACAAUGGGGGAAACCCUGAUGCAGCGACGCCGCGUGAGCGAAGAAGGUUUUCGAAUCGUAAAGCUCUGUCCUAUGAGAAGAUAAUGACGGUAUCAUAGGAGGAAGCCCCGGCUAACUACGUGCCAGCAGCCGCGGUAAUACGUAGGGGGCUAGCGUUGUCCGGAAUCACUGGGCGUAAAGGGUUCGCAGGCGGAAUAACAAGUCAGAUGUGAAAGGCAUGGGCUCAACCCAUGUAAGCAUUUGAAACUGUAAUUCUUGAGAAGUGGAGAGGUAAGUGGAAUUCCUAGUGUAGCGGUGAAAUGCGUAGAUAUUAGGAGGAAUACCUGUGGCGAAGGCGACUUACUGGACACAAAUCUGACGCUGAGGAACGAAAGCGUGGGUAGCAAACAGG